rnacentral:lncRNA from 1 species
GUUGCUGAAGAGGAGCAGCAGCCGCACAAGAGUAUCUGAGGAUGACUCCUCCGUUUCUAACCCAUCCCCUUCCUUCCACUGUUUUGGAUGAUGAACUUGAUCCUGCUUAAUUAAUUAAUUUCUCAUCGUGCUUAAUUAGCUGUAAAUGUGCCCCCUUAUUGAAGAAGAAGAAGAAGAUAAUACAAAUGUAAUUUAAUUGGAUGGUCCUUUUCAUCAUGCUUAAUUAGCUGUAAAUGUGCCUCCCUUACUGAAGAAUAUAAGAAUCCAUAUGUGUUAUGCAAAAUUAACUUUGUCAUCUAGUAAGCACUCUAGGCAGUGUCUAGAGGGUGAAAAUAUGAGAACAAAAAAGAAUUACUGGAUUAAUUUAAAACAUCCAUCCUUUCCUCCGUCCUUGUCAUUGUUAUUUACCCCUGGGAGUAUUUUUAACUUGAAAAUCUCUGGUGAACUGCCAUUUCAAGUACAUUUGCUUGCUCUGUUAAUUUUUUGGGUUACUCCAUCUUGCUCUGUUAAGUAAAAUUUGAUAUGUGGAGUAGCAGUAGUAAGCUAGACCCUCCAUCUUGCUCUGUACAUAGUCAAAGCUACUCCAAGUUAGCAGCAAUACUGUUAACUUCUCAAUUUGCUUGGAUUACAUUUAACUUCUAGUACUCCAGUACUCUAGUAAUUUUGCUUAGAGUAUUUAACAAGAUUGAACUGUACAUGUGUGGAGUAAUUUUGCUGGGAGUAUUUAACAAGAUUGAACAAGAUUUAACUUGUCAACAUUUAACAGUAUUUUCAGUAAGUAUUCUGAACAUGCUUCUGAAUAUUUCCAGAUUUUGAACAUGCAAGCAAAUCUGCAGGAGUAAACAAGUUCUUGCGGUAGAUAUUGCAAGUGUUUUAUCUAAACAUCUACUCUCACCGAAGAUAUUUCAAGUGGUCUGACCAGAUUUUCUCAGUUUGCAAGUUUACUUACUUUUCCAGUUAAUUAACUGGACAUCUUGGAGUAGUUAGAAAAUCAUGAAUUAUUUGCAGAAAACCAUAGAAGUAUUGUACUCCAGGGUGCAUUACGUACAUAAACUUGCUUGCAAGCUUAUUUUCUGACUCACAUAUUCUGAAACUAAAAAAGCUUAGUUAACUUGCGUGGUACAUUUGGUAAAAAUGGAAUGGUUCCAUCCUGCACAACAUACUUUGAGUGAAUGUUGAGUACUGUAUGCACUUGUGUAAUAUAUGUUGGUUGAUGAAUGCCUGGGUGUGUCACUGCUUGUUCCAUGCUACAUUUAGGAAUUGUUCAUUUUUGUGUUAUGACAACUUCACUGCUUCCUGCCAAAACCUUUUAAAAUCUUGCAGAUUCUAGUGCUACCACACAACUAGAUCAGUAUUUGAUUACUGUUACAAGUGGAGGUCUAAAUCAGCAGAGAACAGGGGUGAGAUGUACAUGUCCCAACCUCCUUCCCUCCCAUGUAUGAAUACGCUCUCAAGUAGUCAUUUUUGUGAGUGGGCAUAUGAUAAGAACUAAGAAUUCACCUUCACUAAUUGUCUAUGAUAUUUCAUCAGGAUCUAUAAGUACUUGAGGUACAUAUUGGCCGCACCACCAAUUUGUGUAGUUCUUUGGCCCUCUUGGUAGUGGGUUCUCAGUAGGACUAUAGAGUUGAUAGUAUGCUUCUAUGCAUCCCCAUUUAUAAGUUAUGCAGAAUAAGAAUUACAAUUUGCUGCAAUUCAGAUGUUUUGAAUUCUUCAAUCUUGAAUUGUUCAAUGAUGAUAGCUAUCUUGCACCGUACUAUAAAAUCAUGGAUCGGCAACUAGGUGAUUGUCAAUCCGUUCUUGCUAGAUGUGUUGUUGUUUUUCUUCUUCUAAGAUAAGAUGGUAGCAUCACAUGUCAUCCUAUCAUGUUGUACUAGUUCCUGAAGUGUAAGAUAAGAUGGUGGCAUCAGAUGUGUGUUCUGACUUGUGACUGUUUACUACAUGGAUACAUGCAGCUAGCUAGUAACCUAGCAGUACUAGUAAGAAUAUAUGUGACUAAUUCCCUCCCUAUACCUUGUGAUUGAUUCCAGGUAUAUACAGAUGCCAUCUUUGUCUGGCAACAUAUGCACCUGAUUACAUUCAGGUGCAUAUAGUAUACUUGAACAGUGUAAACAUAUGCAUCUGCAAAAUUAUCUCAUUCAUAGUGUGGUGCCUAUGUAUAUCAGUUAUCAAUUGGCUUGAUUUAGGCUGUUGAUAGUCAGUGUCUCAGUGACAGAAAUAACUCAAAAGCUAUACCUUUAGCUGUGCUGGCAAUCGAAUGUAUAUAAUCGUAACUGUGAAACUAGUUAUUACCGUAGCCAGCAGAUCUUUUUACUGAGCAUUAACUGGUAGUUCUCAUAAUCCAUCCCAUAGAUUACUUCCCCAACGUGUGUUCCGAGGGCUUUACCUGUUAGAAUUGAUGCUUGUUUCUACUAAGUGUUGCACUUGUUUCUACUAAGUUUUAACUGUGAAUCUAUUGUUUCACAUAUACUAUAUACAACUAUUGCCUUGAAGAAGUCAGCUCCCUUGGAUGGUGCAGUGUAGCAAAUCAAUGUCGAUUCAUUCAUUCUUUGGUGAGUGCGCACUACUAGCACAUUCUUUGUUGUGAUCAAGUGCGACUCAUAUCCAGUUGUUUUCUCACAUUAUUAUUUGGUUAUGCCAUGCCGCUGCCAUUGUUUGCUUAAGCAUUCUUUGCUCCAACCUGGCAUUGUGUUGCACUAGUACUAGUACAUACUUCAAUUGCAUGCAUGCAUGUUUGCCGUUCCCUGAACUGUUUGACUGCUUUGCAUACGGCUUGUGUCUUGCUGCUCUCUGACCUGUUGUACUGUCCAUAUGUUACUUGAUCAUUUGCAAAAUAUAUCUCAGUUUUCGCAGUAAUGAAAAUGUUAUAUGCAUGGUUUCCUGUUAAAUCUGAAGUUCUGCACCAAAUUUUCAUCGUUAUGAGAAUUUUAUAUUCACAGAUUCACUUGAUUAUGUUUCUAACUUUUCAUAAUUUAGUAUUUGCAGAUGUUGGCUUUCAUUCUUCCAAAGUUGGGUGUACAGGAGCUCUAGGAAGAAGAUUCCUGAAGAUAAACCACACCCAGCAAUGAGUUUUAGCUCACUAGAGAUAGUUAUGCUUGCAGCUAGUUAUGUGUAUAUUUAGUUGUAUUUUAUAGCUGAAUACCAGAAUUGUACUAUGCUUGGCUGUUGUAUGAAAUAUUAUGCCUUAUUUGGUCUUUUUG